CAGAGGGUGCAAGCGUUAAUCGGAAUUACUGGGCGUAAAGGGUGCGUAGGUGGAUGCGUAAGUUAGAUGUGAAAGUCCUGGGCUUAACCUGGGAAGGGCGUCUAAUACUGCGCAGCUAGAGUACUGUAGAGGAAAGUGGAAUUUCCGGUGUAGCAGUGAAAUGCGUAGAUAUCGGAAGGAACAUCAGUGGCGAAGGCGGCUUUCUGGACAGAUACUGACACUGAGGCACGAAAGCGUGGGGAGCAAACAGGAUUAGAUACCCUGGUAGUCCACGCUGUAAACGAUGAAGACUGGCUGUUGGGUACUUUCGGGUACUUAGUAGCGAAGCUAACGCGUUAAGUCUUCCGCCUGAGGAGUACGGCCGCAAGGUUA
rnacentral:rRNA from 1 species